UAUUGGUCAAUGGGCGGGAGCCUGAACCAGCCAAGCCGCGUGAGGGAAGAAGGUACAGCGUAUCGUAAACCUCUUUUGUCAGGGAACAAAGGCGGGGACUAGUCCCCGGAUGAGGGUACAUGAAGAAAAAGCAUCGGCUAACUUCGUGCCAGCAGCCGCGGUAAUACGGAGGAUGCGAGCGUUAUCCGGAUUUAUUGGGUUUAAAGGGUGCGUAGGCGGGCAUUUAAGCCGGCGGUUAAAUGUCGGGGCUCAACCCCGGCCUGCCGUCGGAACUGGGUGCCUUGAGUGGGCGAGAAGUAUGCGGAAUGCGUGGUGUAGCGGUGAAAUGCAUAGAUAUCACGCAGAACCCCGAUUGCGAAGGCAGCAUACCGGCGCCCUACUGACGCUGAGGCACGAAAGUGCGGGUAUCG
rnacentral:rRNA from 1 species